GAUGAAGAACGUAGCGAAAUGCGAUAAGUAAUGCGAAUUGCAGAAUCCGUGAGUCAUCGAAUCUUUGAACGCACAUUGCGCCCUCUGGUAUUCCGGAGGGCAUGCCUGUUCGAGCGUCAUUAUCACCCCUCAAGCCCGGCUUGUUGUUGGAUGCAGCGCUUAUCCCGCUCCUCCCAAAGAUAAUGACGGCGUCUGCGACGACUCCUGUACACUGAGCUUUCGGGCACGUACACGGCUAGAAGUCCAGACCCGGUCGCCGUCCCCCCCGCGGGGACACCCAUUACCACAAGGUUGACCUCGGAUCAGGUAGGAAUACCCGCUGAACUUAAGCAUAUCAAUAAUCGGAGGA
rnacentral:misc_RNA from 1 species